AAGUCGUAACAAGGUUUCUGUAGGUGAACCUACGGAAGGAUCAUUAGAAAAUCCAGGAGUGUUCAGCACUCUUGGGCACUUUUCUAACCACAAUGUUGACUAUUACCUCUGUUACUUCCACAGCAAAGCAAUUUUUUGCACUGCUGUGAAAGGAUCUCAUCCAAAACCCUUGUAAAUUAGCUGUCUCUGUCUGAUAAUAAAAUUUAAAUGUUUUAAAACUUUCAACAACGGAUCUCUUGGCUCCU
rnacentral:misc_RNA from 1 species